UAGGGAAUCUUCCACAAUGGGCGAAAGCCUGAUGGAGCAACGUCCGCGUGUGUGAUGAAGGGUUUCGGCUCGUAAAACACUGUUGUAAGAGAAGAAUGACAUUGAGAGUAACUGUUCAAUGUGUGACGGUAUCUUACCAGAAAGGAACGGCUAAAUACGUGCCAG
rnacentral:rRNA from 1 species